rnacentral:sRNA from 1 species
UAACGUCAUUUCUGACGUACCGGCCAGC